CUAGCCNGAGGCCUANCACAUGCAAGCCNAGCGGUAUUUNUCUUUCGGGACANANACMGCGGCGUACCGGGUGCGGAACACGUGUGCAACCUACCUUUAUCAGGGGGAUAGCCUUUCGAAAGGAAGAUUAAUACCCCAUAAUAUAUUGAUUGGCAUCAGUUAAUAUUGAAAACUCCGGUGGAUAGAGAUGGGCACGCGCAAGAUUAGAUAGUUGGUAGGGUAACGGCCUACCAAGUCAGUGAUCUUUAGGGGGCCUGAGAGGGUGAUCCCCCACACUGGUACUGAGACACGGACCAGACUCCUACGGGAGGCAGCAGUGAGGAAUAUUGGACAAUGGGUGAGAGCCUGAUCCAGCCAUCCCGCGUGAAGGACGACGGCCCUAUGGGUUGUAAACUUCUUUUGUAUAGGGAUAAACCUACUCUCGUGAGAGUAGCUGAAGGUACUAUACGAAURAGCACCGGCUAACUCCGUGCCAG
rnacentral:rRNA from 1 species